rnacentral:rRNA from 1 species
UACGGAGGGUACAAGCGUUGUCCGGAAUUAUUGGGCGUAAAGAGCUCGUAGGUGGUUUGUCGCGUCUGCUGUGGAAUCGUGCCGCUUAACGGUGCGCGUGCAGUGGGUACGGGCAGACUGGAGUGCAGUAGGGGAGUCUGGAAUUCCUGGUGUAGCGGUGAAAUGCGCAGAUAUCAGGAGGAACACCGGUGGCGAAGGCGGGACUCUGGGCUGUUACUGACGCUGAGGAGCGAAAGCAUGGGGGAGCGAACAGGAUUAGAUACCCCCGUAGU